rnacentral:rRNA from 1 species
GAUGAACGCUGGCGGCGUGCUUAACACAUGCAAGUCGAACGAAGCACUUUAUUUGAUUUCCUUCGGGAUUGAUUAUUUUGUGACUGAGUGGCGGACGGGUGAGUAACGCGUGGGUAACCUGCCUUGUACAGGGGGAUAACAGUUGAAACGGCUGCUAAUACCGCAUAAGCGCACAGUAUCGCAUGAUGCAGUGUGAAAAACUCCGGUGGUAUAAGAUGGACCCGCGUUGGAUUAGCUAGUUGGUGAGGUAACGGCCCACCAAGGCGACGAUCCAUAGCCGACCUGAGAGGGUGACCGGCCACAUUGGGACUGAGACACGGCCCAAACUCCUACGGGAGGCAGCAGUGGGGAAUAUUGCACAAUGGGCGAAAGCCUGAUGCAGCGACGCCGCGUGAGUGAAGAAGCAUUUCGGUAUGUAAAGCUCUAUCAGCAGGGAAGAUAAUGACGGUACCUGACUAAGAAGCACCGGCUAAAUACGUGCCAGCCGCCGCCGUAA